rnacentral:misc_RNA from 1 species
GUGAGUCAUCGAAUCUUUGAACGCACAUUGCGCCCCUUGGUAUUCCGAGGGGCAUGCCUGUUCGAGCGUCAUUAUAACCACUCAAGCCUCGGCUUGGUAUUGGGGUUCGCGGUCUCGCGGCCCUUAAAAUCAGUGGCGGUGCCAUCUGGCUCUAAGCGUAGUAAUUCUCUCGCUACAGGGUCCAGGUGGUUACUUGCCAAAACCCCCUAUUUUCUAUGGUUGACCUCGGAUCAGGUAGGGAUACCCGCUGAACUUAAGCAUAUCAAUAAGCGGAGGA